rnacentral:rRNA from 1 species
UACGUAGGGUGCAAGCGUUGUCCGGAAUUAUUGGGCGUAAAGAGCUCGUAGGCGGUUUGUUGCGUCGGCUGUGAAAUCCCGAGGCUCAACCUCGGGUCUGCAGUCGAUACGAGCAAACUAGAGUGUUGCAGGGGAGACUGGAAUUCCUGGUGUAGCGGUGAAAUGCGCAGAUAUCAGGAGGAACACCGGUGGCGAAGGCGGGUCUCUGGGCAACAACUGACGCUGAGGAGCGAAAGCUAGGGGAGCAAACAGG